CGUUUAUUCAUCCCCUUGUUUUUAGCUAGGAUGUAACAUAGUACUAUAUGGAAUUUCCAGGAUGCUAUAAUGAGAUAGGUGAAUGAACAAACAAAUUUAGUUGUGUGGGAACACCGUACAUCACUAGCUCUCUCCAAUCUCUUUCUUGAUGAGCUUCCUUUGUUUGCAACAAAGAGGUGGUAUCCUUCUUUGUGGCCCUCCAGGAGUGGGGAAGACAUUAUUAGCAAAAGCUGUUACUGGUGAGGCAGGUGUAAACUUCUUCUCCAUAUCUGCAUCUCAGUUUGUCGAAAUAUAUGUGGGAGUCGCGAGCACUCUAUCAAGAAGCAAGGGACAAUGUGAGAAUUCAAUUCCUUUUAUCUGAUUGUGGUGAUUGUUGGGCUUCUUUGGAUCAAGCAAAUAGGUUUACUACUCAGAACGUGGAAUGCUUUUGAUACUCGAUUCCUAAAUUCUAAUAUUUUGUUAUGAUUCCACCUUUUAGUUAGCUUUUGGGAGGAGUUCCAUUCUUGAGUGCCUUAUGAUUUCUUAUAGGUUUGACGUGAGACCGUACAUAUUUGCUCUCUUUGCUCAUUAAUUCUAAUAGUUGCUCUUUUUUGUCCAUGAGAUUUUGACUGCAUUUGUUCAUCAAAGACCAUGCAUUGUUGUUUUCUUACUUUCACAGAGCUUAUAUUUGUGGAAGUGAUGUGAUGUGCGUGAGUCAAGCAUUUGCAGGCUCCAUCUGUUGUUUUCAUCGAUGAACUGGAUGUUGACGGAAGUGCACAUGGUUUGAUUAAGUGGUCUGGUGGGCAAGAACGUGAUGCUACUUUAAAUCCGGUCUCUUGCACAUAUUUGAUUGCUUAUAAUUGUGAUGUGACACCACACAAUAAUGGUCUGAUUCGACUGUAAUAUAAAAUACCUUAUCGAUCCUCUAGCUUCUUGUGUGCCUGGAUGGGUUCGAAGGCAGAGGAGAAGUCAUUACCAUUGCUUCUACAAACAGGACAGACAUUUUGGAUGCAGCACUUGUGAGACCAGGGAGGUUCGACCGGAAAAUACACAUACCCAAGCCUGGACUGGUUGGCCGUGUUGAAAUUCUGAAGAUGCGGUUCAUGCUAGGAAGAAAUCAAUGGCCCCUGACGUGGACUAUUUGGCUGCUGCGACUAUGACUGAUGGAGUGGUUGGAGCUGAGCUGUCCAACAUUAUCGAGGUUGCUGCUAUCAACAUGAUGCGCGAUGAAAGAACAGAGAUUACUAAUGAUGAUUUGUUACCAGAGCUGCACAAAUAGAAGAAAGAGGAAUGCUUGAUAAUAGAGAGAACAGCCCCGAGAUCUGGAAGCAAGUAGCUAUAAAUGAAGCUGAAAUGGCCAUAGUUGCUGUCAAUUUCCCGGAUCUUAGAUAUAUCUAUCGAGUUUUUAUGUUCUGAUCUUUCAGUUUCAGUUGCUUCCUUCUAUUUUAACCUAGCAGCAUUUUAUUAGAGUUCUGUUAAUCAAAUGGGAAAUUCUAAAGUAUUGUCGUUUAUUUUUCGUGUCAGGUGACGAUUUCUCGAAGAGCUGGAAUGGAUUUAGGAUACGUCCGCUCCCUCUGUAUUCCUGGAGAUCUUCAAUUAAAGAUUUUUAAAACAACUUUAAAAUUGGUUCUUUUGUUUUAGGCAAAAAACAUGUUUCUUCACCCCGGGACUCCCAGCAGCCGGGAACAGAGGUAUGGGCUUAUAUUCUCAAUUGGUAACGCACAAUUUUUCUGAUUGAAGGCCGAGCUUCGUCCCUAGAAUGCAAACGAGCAGCUCCGUCCUGAGUUUGUUCUUGAAUCCGGCCAACACUUUAUUUUCUCAAUUGUGUUUUAGCAAUUCCUCUUUUGGUUUGAAUCAGUACUCUAAUUGGGCCAUACAUAAUAUUUUAUUGGUAGGUAUGAUAAUCUUUGGUUAAUUAUGUAA